GAAAACUUUGCAAAGAUUUGAACAAACUAUGAGACUUCUGGAAUAAUGUUUCGUCUAGCAAUACUAAAGUGGAGAUGUUUGGCCAUGAUGCACAGCACCAUAUUUUUCAAAAGCAGAUACAAAACAGAAAUACUUCAUACCAACUGUUAAUCACAGUGGUAGAUUGGGUGAUGAUUUGAGUCAGCCAUGAACUCUGUAUACCAACGUAUUUUAGAUUUAAAUGUGAGGCCAUCUGUCAGACAGCUAAAGCUUAGGCUGAAACUGGGUCAUGCAACAGGACAAUUAUCCCAGGUGCAGCAGCAAAUUUACAACAGAAUGGCUGACAAGUCAAAGUCCAAACCUCAACCUCAUUAAAAUGCUGUGAUGGGACUUUAAGAAAGCUGUGCAUAAAUGAAUGCUUGCAGACUUCAAUGAAUUGAAGCAACGCUGUAAAGAAGAGUGGCCUAUCCAACUAAACAAGUAUUGCACGAUAUCUGAGAGUUCUUUGACAGUCAAAAUGCCAUGCAAGUAGCAGGUUUUUAAUCCAUGUAGCAUUUGUCAAUUAACACACGGCUAAUACUUUGAUAAUAUACAUCCCAGCAGUGCCACAACAUUAUGUUAUUAUUAUUUUUUUUUUUUUGCUCAUAUUAUAUUAUGAGCAUGUUAAUGCUGUUUUUUUUUUUAGUAAAUUGUCAAUUUAUUAAUUAGGGAUGUUGGUUUUACUGAUACACAUUUUGUGUAGUUUCCACUUAAACUACACAAAAUGUUCUCCCAUAUAUACAACGUGUAAGCUACAGAAUAGAGCGUUAUUAUUCACUCAGAGCUCAAAAAUCUACAUACCAAAAAUGAGUAAAGUCGCACCAUUUCACACACAAAUAAUGCAGAGCCGAGUAAAACACUUUUUACAGUGUCAGCAAAAUGUUACUGAUCACUGGUGCUGCUAGGACUAACCUAUGAAUCAUGGUUGAGUCAUAGGUUUAUUUUUUUCUAUUCGUUUUUGUUCAUGUAAUGUUCUGAAAAACCUAAGCUUACCAAUACAAAACCA
ensembl:lncRNA